AGUGAACGCUGGCGGCAGGCCUAACACAUGCAAGUCGAGCGGCAGCGCGUCCGACCACCCUCGGGUGGUCGGAUGGCGGCGAGCGGCGGACGGGUGAGGAAUGCAUCGGAAUCUGCCUCGUUGUGGGGGAUAACGUAGGGAAACUUACGCUAAUACCGCAUACGACCUACGGGUGAAAGUGGGGGACCUUCGGGCCUCACGCGAUGAGAUGAGCCGAUGCCGGAUUAGCUAGUUGGCGGGGUAAAGGCCCACCAAGGCGACGAUCCGUAGCUGGUCUGAGAGGAUGAUCAGCCACACUGGAACUGAGACACGGUCCAGACUCCUACGGGAGGCAGCAGUGGGGAAUAUUGGACAAGUGGGGGCAACCCUGAUCCAGCCAUGCCGCGUGUGUGAAGAAGGCCUUCGGUUGUAAGACACUUUGUUGGGUAAGGAACCGGACCGGGUUAACGUA
rnacentral:rRNA from 1 species